AGAAUCAACGCUGGCGGCGUGCCUAACACAUGCAAGUCGAACGAGAAAGUGGAGCAAUCCAUGAGUAAAGUGGCGCACGGGUGAGUAACACGUGACUAACCUACCCUUGAGUGGGGGAUAACCUAGGGAAACCUGGGCUAAUACCGCAUAACACCUACGGGUCAAAGGAGCAAUUCGCUUAAGGAGGGGUCGCGGCAGAUUAGCUAGUUGGCGGGGUAAUGGCCCACCAAGGCAGUGAUCUGUA
rnacentral:rRNA from 1 species